rnacentral:tRNA from 1 species
GAAGGCGUAGUUCAAUGGUAGAACGAGAGCUUCCCAAGCUCUAUACGAGGGUUCGAUUCCCUUCGCCCGCUCCA